rnacentral:rRNA from 1 species
UACGGAGGGUGCAAGCGUUAUCCGGAUUUACUGGGUUUAAAGGGUGCGUAGGCGGGCCUGUAAGUCAGUGGUGAAAUCUUCCCGCUUAACGGGAAAACUGCCAUUGAUACUAUAGGUCUUGAAUUCAGUUGAGGUGGGCGGAAUGUGUCGUGUAGCGGUGAAAUGCUUAGAUAUGACACAGAACACCGAUUGCGAAGGCAGCUCACUAAACUGUAACUGACGCUGAGGCACGAAAGCGUGGGGAUCAAACAGG